UGAGGCCCUGGGAGGUGGCAGACUGAUGAAGGAGCAGAGGCUUCAGGUCCAAGUUCAUUCUCUCAGCCUGAUACUUGUAAGCCGUGACCUUGGGUAGGCAUAGGGAUCCCUUCUGAGUCCCCAUUGUCCUAAGUCAACGAAGGAUAAUGAUAUCACGUACAGCGGAUAUUCAGGUUACAGGGACGCGGGGCCUCCGGCACGGUGCUGGGUGUAUUGCCAAAUGCUUCAAGGAUCAAGCUUACGUUUCUGCAUUCCUGCAUAAUUAUUUAUGUGCUCCACGUAGUGCCUGCGCCUCUCUCCGUGGCAUCCACGACAGUGCCUGGAACACAGUAGCGUAAUGACUAAGGGACCUCAGAAGAGGCUUAGCCUGGGGCCCAUUUCUGUUCCACCGGUCUCAACAGAAGCCAGAAGACCUCUUCCCUUCCAUGCUGUCUCUCCCGCCUACAGAUUCUACCUCCUAAGGCUUCACAACUACACUCUGGAGACGACUCUUGUUAGGAGAGAGGACAUGGGCUCAGGCUUGUCACAUCCCCAGAGCACCUAGCCCACAGAAUGCUGAAAUCAUGAUGUUUUUGGAGUGGAGUGGAGGA
rnacentral:sRNA from 1 species